rnacentral:rRNA from 1 species
GGUUCAGGAUGAACGCUAGCUACAGGCUUAACACAUGCAAGUCGUGGGGCAGCAUGGUGUUGCUUGCAACAACCGAUGGCGACCGGCGCACGGGUGAGUAACGCGUAUCCAACCUGGCCCUUAGUAGGGGAUAGCCCGGCGAAAGUCGGAUUAAUACCCUAUGUUUUCCCAUGAGAGCAUUUGAAAGGGAACAAAGAUUCAUCGCUAGGGGAUGGGGAUGCGUCCGAUUAGCUUGCCGGCGGGGUAACGGCCCACCGGGGCGACGAUCGGUAGGGGUUCUGAGAGGAAGGUCCCCCACAUUGGAACUGAGACACGGUCCAAACUCCUACGGGAGGCAGCAGUGAGGAAUAUUGGUCAAUGGGCGAGAGCCUGAACCAGCCAAAGUAGCGUGAGGGAUGACGGCCCUACGGGUUGUAAACCUCUUUUGUACGGGAAUAAAGUGCGCCACGCGUGGCGUUUUGUAUGUACCGUAAGAAUAAGGACCGGCUAAUUCCGUGCCAGCCGCAGC